rnacentral:lncRNA from 1 species
AAAGCCUUCGAGUUCAUCUCCUGUAUGGCCAGCAACAGCGGGUCACUCACCACCAGUAAUUGGUCAUCAGCAUGCCUGGCCUGUGAUAAGUGGUGCUUCUGGAUCAUCAUCUAAUUCCAGGCAUAGUAGGGCAGCAGCGGACAAACCUUCUGCACCAGUAAUUACCCCUCAAAACUCUUGGCCUGCUGUUAAUAGCGCUUCUGGAUCAGCAUCUAAUUCCAGGCAUAGUAGGGCAGCAGCGGACAAACCUUCUGCACCAGUAGUUACCCCUCAAGACUCUUGGCCUGGUUUUAAUAGCGCUUCUGGAUCAGCAUCUAAUUCCAGGCAUAGUAGGGCAGCAGCGGACAAACCUUCUACACCAGUAAUUACCCCUCAACACGCUUGGCCUGCUAUUAAUAGUGCUUCUGGAUCAGCAUCAGGCUCUAGCCAGAUUAAACCGUCAACAGCAGUAGAUGGACCUCCAUCAUCUAGUUAUUUAAACUCUGUUGCUGUUCGAUC